GGGGCUGACAGGCUUCGACUGGCCGAUUGAAAACUGAACAGCGGGCAAGUGUUGGGCACACUUCUACUUUGAGUGAACGUGCCAACCCAUAAGCGCCAAUGACAAUGACGCAACGGUCACUGAGGCCGACUUCGCCGAGAUCGAGGCUUUCGCCAACGACUCGGUGCUGGUCUAACCAGUAACCAGCCACCCGGUUAGCCAGCUGCCGCGCAGCGCCGGGGGUUUCAAAGAUAGCGGGAGCACAGAGGGUCACUGAUCAACGUCCUUGAACACCGUGGAUCACAGGAAGGCCGCAUCCCGUCCUCGGGGUCGCAGCUGGGUAUUCAAACGAGGACUACGCCCGUAGAACGCAGAAGGAUAGACGCUAGGACGGGGGUUCGAUUCCCCCCAGCUCCAC
rnacentral:tmRNA from 1 species